rnacentral:rRNA from 1 species
GAUGAACGCUGGCGGCGUGCCUAAUACAUGCAAGUCGAGCGAACGGACGAGAAGCUUGCUUCUCUGAUGUUAGCGGCGGACGGGUGAGUAACACGUGGAUAACCUACCUAUAAGACUGGGAUAACUUCGGGAAACCGGAGCUAAUACCGGAUGAUAUUUUGAACCGCAUGGUUCAAUAGUGAAAGACGGUCUUGCUGUCACUUAUAGAUGGAUCCGCGCUGCAUUAGCUAGUUGGUAAGGUAACGGCUUACCAAGGCAACGAUGCGUAGCCGACCUGAGAGGGUGAUCGGCCACACUGGAACUGAGACACGGUCCAGACUCCUACGGGAGGCAGCAGUAGGGAAUCUUCCGCAAUGGGCGAAAGCCUGACGGAGCAACGCCGCGUGAGUGAUGAAGGUCUUCGGAUCGUAAAACUCUGUUAUUAGGGAAGAACAUAUGUGUAAGUAACUAUGCACGUCUUGACGGUACCUAAUCAGAAAGCCACGGCUAACUACGUG